UACAGAGGUCUCAAGCGUUGUUCGGAUUCAUUGGGCGUAAAGGGUGUGUAGGUGGCGCGGUAAGUCGGGUGUGAAAUCUCGGAGCUUAACUCCGAAACUGCAUUCGAUACUGCCGUGCUUGAGGACUGGAGAGGAGACUGGAAUUUACGGUGUAGCGGUGAAAUGCGUAGAUAUCGUAAGGAGGACCAGUGGCGAAGGCGGGUCUCUGGGACGGUACUGACGCUGGAGACGCGAAAGCGUGGGGAGCGAACAGG
rnacentral:rRNA from 1 species